AUUGAACGCUGGCGGCAUGCCUUACACAUGCAAGUCGAACGGCAGCGGGGACUUCGGUCCGCCGGCGAGUGGCGAACGGGUGAGUAACGUAUCGGAACGUACCUUUCAGUGGGGGAUAACGUAGCGAAAGUUACGCUAAUACCGCAUAUUCUGUGAGCAGGAAAGCAGGGGAUCGCAAGACCUUGCGCUGAUUGAGCGGCCGAUAUCAGACUAGCUAGUUGGUGAGGUAAAGGCUCACCAAGGCGACGAUCUGUAGCGGGUCUGAGAGGAUGGUCCGCCACACUGGAACUGAGACACGGUCCAGCCUCCUACGGGAGGCAGCAGUGGGGAAUUUUGGACAAUGGGGGCAACCCUGAUCCAGCCAUGCCGCGUGAGUGAAGAAGGCCUUCGGGUUGUAAAGCUCUUUCGGCCGGGAAGAAAUCGUACGGGUUAAUACCCUGUGCGGAUGACGGUACCGGCAUAAGAAGCACCGGCUAACUACGUGCCAGCCGCCGCGGUAACAC
rnacentral:rRNA from 1 species